rnacentral:tRNA from 1 species
GGGUCGUUAGCUCAGCUGGUAGAGCAGCGGACUUUUAAUCCGUUGGUCGUAGGUUCGAAUCCUACACGACCCACCA